rnacentral:rRNA from 1 species
UACGGAGGAUGCAAGCGUUAUCCGGAAUGAUUGGGCGUAAAGCGUCCGCAGGUGGCUAUGUAAGUCUGCUGUUAAAGAGUGAGGCUCAACCUCAUAAGAGCAGUGGAAACUACAUAGCUAGAGUGCGUUCGGGGCAGAGGGAAUUCCUGGUGUAGCGGUGAAAUGCGUAGAGAUCAGGAAGAACAUCGGUGGCGAAGGCGCUCUGCUGGACCAUAACUGACACUCAGGGACGAAAGCUAGGGGAGCGAAUGGG